GACGAACGCUGGCGGCGUGCUUAACACAUGCAAGUCGAACGGAAAGGCCCUGCUUUUGUGGGGUGCUCGAGUGGCGAACGGGUGAGUAACACGUGAGUAACCUGCCCUUGACUUUGGGAUAACUUCAGGAAACUGGGGCUAAUACCGGAUAGGAGCUCCUGCUGCAUGGUGGGGGUUGGAAAGUUUCGGCGGUUGGGGAUGGACUCGCGGCUUAUCAGCUUGUUGGUGGGGUAGUGGCUUACCAAGGCUUUGACGGGUAGCCGGCCUGAGAGGGUGACCGGCCACAUUGGGACUGAGAUACGGCCCAGACUCCUACGGGAGGCAGCAGUGGGGAAUAUUGCACAAUGGGCGGAAGCCUGAUGCAGCAACGCCGCGUGCGGGAUGACGGCCUUCGGGUUGUAAACCGCUUUCGCAUGUGACGAAGCGUGAGUGACGGUAAUGGGUAAAGAAACACCGGCUAACUACGU
rnacentral:rRNA from 1 species